CCCACAUAUUACCAUCUUCAUAUCUCAAAACUAUUGUAGAGAAUCAAACAUAUCAUAUUCAGUGAUCUACAAGUUUUAUGUAGGAUUUUACUACUAACCAUGUAAAUGACUAAUUCCUAUUGACUCUCUAAAUAGGUACAUGUGAAGCAUGAGAGUUUAAUUCUUUCUACAAACGACCAUGCUCUAAUAAAUAUAAGUGUAGCAAAAGAUCAUUCUACAAAUAACGGUUUUC
rnacentral:lncRNA from 1 species